rnacentral:misc_RNA from 1 species
GAUGAAGAACGAAGCGAAAUGCGAUACUUGGUGUGAAUUGCAGAAUCCCGUGAACCAUCGAGUCUUUGAACGCAAGUUGCGCCUCAAGCCAUUAGGUUGAGGGCACGUCUGCCUGGGCGUCACAUAUCGUUGCCUGAUGCCAGUUUCCUCGUGAUGGGUGACUGUGCAGGGCGAAUGAUGGCUUCCCGUGAGCAUUGUUGCCUCAUGGUUGGUUGAAAAUUGAGUCCUUGGUAGGGAGCGCCGUGAUAGAUGGUGGUUGAGUGACGAACGAGACCCAAUCAUGUGAGACCCCUACCGAAUUUGGCCUUCAUGACCCACAUGCGUCUUUGGAACGCUCAUGACGAGACCUCAGGUCAGGUGGGGCUACCCGCUGAGUUUAAGCAUAUCAAUAAGCGGAGGA